GAUGAACGCUAGCGGCAGGCUUAACACAUGCAAGUCGAGGGGUAUAGUUCUUCGGAACUAGAGACCGGCGCACGAGUGCGUAACGCGUAUGCAAUCUACCUUUUGCAGAGGGAUAGCCCAGAGAAAUUUGGAUUAAUACCUCAUGGUAUGUGAGAAUGGCAUCAUUUUCACAUUAAAGUCACAACGGCAAAAGAUGAGCAUGCGUCCCAUUAGCUUGUUGGUAAGGUAACGGCUUACCAAGGCAACGAUGGGUAGGGGUCCUGAGAGGGAGAUCCCCCCCACUGGUACUGAGACACGGCCCAGACUCCUACGGGAGGCAGCAGUGAGGAAUAUUCGACAAUGGGCGCAAGCCUUAUCCAGCCAUGCCGCGUGCAGGAUGACGGCCCUAUGGAUUGUAAACUGCUUUUGUACAGGAAGAAACACUGGUUCGUGAACCAGCUUGACGGUACUGUAAGAAUAAGGAUCGGCUAACUCCGUGCCAGCCGCCGCCGUAAUAC
rnacentral:rRNA from 1 species